CCUUGUGAGAGCCAGUGUACUAGACUCAGAAACUGGCAGCCUGGGGGCCUGUGAAGGCUGCUAUCAGAAGUCUGUGAAUUGGCCUGAACAAGGCUGUUGUGUUUUAGGGCAGUAAAUUGGGUGGUACAAGCUCAAAUGAAACGUGAUUUAUCUACUUUCACAAUUGUGCUGGGCUGGAGAGUUAUGGGGAAAUGACUUAAUUUCAUACAUUUGUCAUGUUGACCAAUGGUCAAUUCUUUAACUUACCAUGAUAAGAAUUUUUUUCAUUGGUUGUUAAGGGGCAAAGGGUUAUUUUGUAGAACCUAUUUAAUAACCUCUUGUUAAUUUAAUUAAAAGAUCUCAAUUAGUGAUUGUUCCUUAAAAUAACAAGAUCUAUAAUUAACUUGGAAAGCUCACAAUAUUACCGGGUUGCUAAGGAAGUUAGUGGCUUUAUGACUAGUCUGAUGAAUUUCCAGAAUAUCUUUAAAGAGAGUCUAGAAACUUUAUCAUAGCUCUUAAAAGCUAUGGAACAGGAUGUCAUUUGGGGAAGUUUCAUUUGCUUGCUUGAGCUCGUGAUCCAAAUUUGGAGGAGACUAAAUUUCUCCAGGGUUUUGUCUGCAAAUGAAGUUAAGAAUAUGUGCUAUAAACUCUUUUAAACCUGUGAAGAGUUUGAUUGGGGUUGAGGGGAUAGGAAUACUGGAAGAGAGUAAAAUGGACACUUUUGACUUUAAUGAGGAAAACAUUGCAUGAUGGAAAAAUGCUGUCUGUUGGUUGGUUGUCAUAAGCUUUAAAGUAGUAUUUUACAGUGGAAAAACAUGUUUUGUAAGACUGUUUUUAAGAGGUUUCUUUGCAACCUUUCAUUUAUUUGUUACUAAAAAACUUUAAAC
rnacentral:lncRNA from 1 species